AUUGAACGCUGGCGGCAUGCCUUACACAUGCAAGUCGAACGGCAGCGCGGGGGCAACCCUGGCGGCGAGUGGCGAACGGGUGAGUAAUACAUCGGAACGUGUCCAGUCGUGGGGGAUAACCAGUCGAAAGACUGGCUAAUACCGCAUGCGCCCGAAAGGGGAAAGCGGGGGACCUGGGGGUAACUUCGGGCCUCGCGCGAUUGGAGCGGCCGAUGUCCGAUUAGCUAGUUGGUGGGGUAAAAGCCACCAAGGCGACGAUCGGUAGCUGGUCUGAGAGGACGACCAGCCACACUGGGACUGAGACACGGCCCAGACUCCUACGGGAGGGCAGCAGUGGGGAAUUUUGGACAAUGGGGGCAACCCUGAUCCAGCCAUGCCGCGUGUGUGAUGAAGGCCU
rnacentral:rRNA from 1 species